GACAGGUGCUGCAUGGCUGUCGUCAGCUCGUGUCGUGAGAUGUUCGGUUAAGUCCGCUAACCGAGCGCAACCCUCGCUGUGUGUUACAAGUGUCACACGGAACUGCCGGUCAUAAACCGGAGGAAGGUGGGAUGACGUCAAGUCAGCAUGGCCUUUAUAUCCUGGGCUACACACACGCUACAAUGGGAAGGGACAAUAGGUUGCGAAGCCGCGAGGCGGAGCCAAUCCAGCAAAACUUCCCUCAGUUCAGAUUGCAGGCUGCGACUCGCCUGCAUGAAGUUGGAGUUGCUAGUAAACGCAGGUCAGCCAUACUGCGUUGAAUACGUUCCCGGGGCUU
rnacentral:rRNA from 1 species